GACGAACGCUGGCGGCGUGCUUAACACAUGCAAGUCGAGCGAGGCCCGCUCUUCGGGGUGGUGCCCUAGCGGCGAACGGGUGAGUAACACGUGGGCAACCUGCCCUCAGCUCUGGGAUAACUCCAAGAAAUUGGUGCUAAUACCGGAUGUGACCGCUGACCGCAUGGUCUGGUGGUGGAAAGAUUCAUCGGCUGAGGAUGGGCCCGCGGCCUAUCAGCUGUUGGUGGGGUCACGGCCCACCAAGGCGACGACGGGUAGCCGGCCUGAGAGGGUGACCGGCCACACUGGGACUGAGAAACGGCCCAGACUCCUACGGGAGGCAGCAGUGGGGAAUCUUGCGCAAUGGCCUAACGGCUGACGCAGCGACGCCGCGUGAGGGAUGAAGCUCCUCGGAGUGUAAACCUCUGUUGCCCGGGACGAAUAGCGGAUUUUUCCGACUUGACGGUACCGGGUGAGGAAGCACCGGCUAACUCCGUGCCAGCCGCCGCUGUAAU
rnacentral:rRNA from 1 species